rnacentral:rRNA from 1 species
AGGGUGAUAGCCCCGUAAGUGAAAAGGAUUGAGUGCUAGCAGUAUCCAGAGUACCAGCGGACACGUGAAACCCGCUGGGAAGAUGGGGGGACCAUCCUCCAAGCCUAAAUACUACUCAGUGACCGAUAGUGGAGCAGUACCGUGAGGGAAAGGUGAAAAGUACCCCGGGAGGGGAGUGAAAAAGAACCUGAAACCUUGUGCCUACAAGCACCGAGAGUCCGUUAAUGGAUGAUCGGGUACUUUUUGUAGAACGGUCCGGCGAGUUAAUAUUUGCAGCGAGGUUAAGGAACUGGAGUUCCGGAGCCGCAGCGAGAGCGAGUCUGAAUAGGGCGUAUGAAGUUGCAGGUAUUAGACCCGAAACCGGGUGACCUAUCCAUGAGCAGGCUGAAGCGGUGGUAAGACACCGUGGAGGGCCGCACCCACGUCUGUUGAAAAAGCCGGGGAUGACUUGUGGAUAGCGGAGAAAUUCCAAUCGAACUCGGAGAUAGCUGGUUCUCCCCGAAAUAGCUUUAGGGCUAGCGUUAUUUUAGAUUACCGGAGGUAAAGCACUGAAUGGUCUAGGGGCCGCGAGGUUACCAAAGCCUAUCAAACUCUGAAUGCCGGAUAAUUGAUGAAUAGCAGUCAGACUGUGUGAGAUAAGUCUCAUAGUCAAAAGGGAAACAGCCCAGAUCUACAGCUAAGGUCCCAAAUGAACACUAAGUGGAAAAUGAUGUGAAACUGCGAAGACAACCAGGAUGUUGGCUUAGAAGCAGCCACUCAUUCAAAGAGUGCGUAAUAGCUCACUGGUCGAGUGGUUUUGCGCAGAAAAUGUAACGGGGCUAAGUGUUCAACCGAAGCUUAGGCAUUGUACUUUGUACAUUGGGUAGGGGAGCGUCGUAUGCGGGGCGAAGUCAGAGCGGAAGCACUGGUGGACUGCAUACGAGUGAGAAUGCCGGAAUAAGUAGCGAGAAUUAUGUGAGAAUCAUAAUGGCCGAAAAUCUAAGGUUUCUUGGGGAAGGUUCGUCCGCCCAAGGUUAGUCGGGAGCUAAGCUCAGGCCGAAAGGCGUAGGCGAUGCACAUACGGUAGAAAUUCCGUAACCACCGAACAUUUAAGCUAGAGGGACGCUUUCUUUAAGUCUAUCCCGGGCGAUGGUUGCCCCGGGCGUAAGGGACCGAAAUAUAGUAGGGAAGUAGAUGGCGAGAGAGACGAGAAAAGCUCUAGUGUAUACUAAGGUGCCCGUACCGCAAACCGACACAGGUAGAUGGGAUGAGUAUUCUAAGGCCAACGGGAGAAGGGUUGUUAAGGAACUCGGCAAAUUGGCCCCGUAACUUCGGGAUAAGGGGCGCCUGCGAGAGCAGGCCGCAGUGAAAAGGCCCAAGCGACUGUUUAGCAAAAACACAGCUCUCUGCUAAAUCGAAAGAUGACGUAUAGGGGGUGACGCCUGCCCGGUGCUGGAAGGUUAAGGGGAGUGCUUAGCGCAAGCGAAGGUGCGAACUUAAGCCCCAGUAAACGGCGGCCGUAACUAUAACGGUCCUAAGGUAGCGAAAUUCCUUGUCAGGUAAGUUCUGACCCGCACGAAUGGCGUAACGAUUUGGGCACUGUCUCAACAGCCCGCCCGGCGAAAUUGUAGUACCGGUGAAGAUGCCGGUUUCCCGCAACUAGACGGAAAGACCCCAUGGAGCUUCACUGUAGCUUGAUAUUGGAUCUCGGUAUUCCAUGUACAGGAUAGGUGGGAGGCUAGGAAGUAAGCGCGCCAGCGUUUAUGGAGCCAACCUUGGGAUACCACUCUUGGGAUAUUGGGAUUCUAACCUGCGACCAUGAAUCUGGUCGGGGGACACUGUCAGGUGGGCAGUUUGACUGGGGCGGUCGCCUCCAAAAGAGUAACGGAGGCGCUCAAAGGUUCGUUCAGCACGGAUGGAAAUCGUGCACUGAGUGUAAACGCAUAAACGAGCCUAACUGCGAGAAUGACGGUUCGAGCAGUAACGAAAGUUGGAGUUAGUGAUCCGGCGGUAUGUGAAUGGAAAUGCCGUCGCUCAACGGAUAAAAGCUACCCUGGGGAUAACAGGCUGAUCUCCCCCA